UACGUAGGGUGCGAGCGUUUGUCCGGAAUUAUUGGGCGUAAAGAGCUUGUAGGCGGUUUGUCGCGUCUGCCGUGAAAUUUCGAGGCUCAACCUCGAACUUGCGGUGGGUACGGGCAGACUAGAGUGUGGUAGAGGAAGGUGGAAUUCCCGGUGUAGCAGUGAAAUGCGUAGAUAUCGGGAGGAACACCAGUGGCGAAGGCGGCCUUCUGGACCAGUACUGACGCUCAUGCACGAAAGCGUGGGGAGCAAACAGG
rnacentral:rRNA from 1 species